ensembl:lncRNA
UUGUUCUGGUUUUGCCCUUUGCUUACGAUUUGGAUUGUAGCAGCACAGCCACUAGUAAGACCAGGAGCAGCAGCAGGUGUUGCUCUACCAACUGAUGCAGGCGCAGCAGCAGGACCUCCAGGGGCCCUCCGCUCAGAGCCAGGGCACCAUCACAGCCAACCCCUUCCUGGCCCUCCAGCACUCUGAUGUCCCGGGACAGAAGCCGCGCCUCUCAGAGAAGGCGGUGGGUGUCGCAGGACAGGAGAAGACAUGACGCUCAAUGUGUCUUUGACUUUUUAAAAUAAAUAUGCAGAGGUGCUUGGAAAGCUGCCUGUUGCUUAAAUCCAAGUCCUAAGUCUGGUCUAAGCUUUCACAUCAAUAUAGUUUAUUUCAGUUUAGAAAGAAUUUAGAGAAAUAUAUACUAUUUAUUUUCUUUUAAUUUAGUUUUAGUGCUGCUUCAGUUUCGUAUUUUGUCAUUGUGUUGGUAAUAUCUGUCUCUGUUUUGUUAAACAGGUAAAUUUACUAUGGACAUUUUUCCAGUCAUAAUCUUGUCCAUUACCUCCCAUUUAUUAUGUGUCUGUUUUAAAUUUCUGGUGUAUUGAUAUAUUUCUUCAUAUUUUCUGUUCUCCUAAAAUCACUUUGUCUGGUUACUCUGCUGCUUCACUUUCUCAGGGGCCUCAGCUAACCAGAGCUGUGCAGUUGGCAGCACACUAGCUAGCACACUAGCUAGCACACACUAGCACUAAAAUACUACAAAGGAAAACUGUCAAGUAUUACAUGAAUAUGAAAAUGCAGCUCCUUAUGACAGGUCGUACAAGUAGCAGCGUCAUGUUUUACAUCUGUCUCAGCUGUCCCAAGGGGAACACUGAGGGAGAGGCUUGUAAAAAAAAAAAAAAAAAAAAAAUACACGGCAGUCUUUUCCCUUUGUCUCCUCGGCUAAGUAUGUAUGUAUUCAAGUGAUUGAGCCAAGUCUUAUACCAUCACCGAAGGCGCCUUUUUCUGCUUUUGGGCAAGAUACAGGGGGCUCACUCAGCAACAAAAUGGAAAUGCAAAAAAAAAAAAAAAUGAAUAAAAAUAAAUAGACUCCUACGAGAAAGUAAUGCUGUAAUGGAGCCAUUGGUUUCACCUUGUGGAAAUCAUCACAUUUGAUAGAGCUGAUUGAGCCCCCUGCUGUACCUACCUCUCCAGCAGGACCAGCCUACAAGGACCUUGGGCCAACACCAGCGCCCCGUUUAAAUGGACCCACAACAGUCAGGACUGGCCAGUCAGGGUCCAAACCCAAGUGCCUAAAGGCGGAGGAGAAGUGAACUACCCCAUUUGCCCUUUUCUAAAAUCCACUGGUGAUUAAGCUACAACACAAUUACACAACACACAACAG